rnacentral:misc_RNA from 1 species
GAUGAAGAACGCAGCGAAAUGCGAUACGUAAUGUGAAUUGCAGAAUUCAGUGAAUCAUCGAAUCUUUGAACGCAUAUUGCGCUCUCUGGUAUUCCGGAGAGCAUGCUUGUUUGAGUAUCAGUAAACACCUCAACUCCCUUUUCUUUUUUGAAAUUGGAGCUGGACUUGAGUGAUCCCAACGCUUUCUUCCAAGAAAGUGGCGGGUUGCUUGAAAUGCAGGUGCAGCUGAACUUUUCUCUGAGCUAUACGCAUAUCUAUUUAGUCUGCCUAAAAAACAGAUUAUUACCUUUGCUGCAGCUAACAUAAAGGAGACUAGUUCUUGUGCUGACUGAUGCAGGAUUCACAGAGACAGCUUCGGCUGACUUUGUAAACUCGAUCUCAAAUCAAGUAAGACUACCCGCUGAACUUAAGCAUAUCAAUAAGCGGAGGA